GCGGGUAUAGCACAACGGUAGUGCGUCUGCCUUCCAAGCAGAAUAUACGGGUUCGACUCCCGUUACCCGCUCCA
rnacentral:tRNA from 1 species